UAGGGAAUCUUCCGCAAUGGGCGAAAGCCUGACGGAGCAACGCCGCGUGAGUGAUGAAGGUCUUCGGAUCGUAAAACUCUGUUAUUAGGGAAGAACAAAUGUGUAAGUAACUAUGCACGUCUUGACGGUACCUAAUCAGAAAGCCACGGCUAACUACGUGCCAGCAGCCGCGGUAAUACGUAGGUGGCAAGCGUUAUCCGGAAUUAUUGGGCGUAAAGCGCGCGUAGGCGGUUUUUUAAGUCUGAUGUGAAAGCCCACGGCUCAACCGUGGAGGGUCAUCGGAAACUGGAAAACUUGAGUGCAGAAGAGGAAAGUGGAAUUCCAUGUGUAGCGGUGAAAUGCGCAGAGAUAUGGAGGAACGCCAGUGGCGAAGGCGACUUUCUGGUCUGUAACUGACGCUGAUGUGCGAAAGCGUGGGGAUCAAACAGG
rnacentral:rRNA from 1 species